GGACAUAAUUUUUAUUUUUCAGAAACACGUAUAAAUACAUUGGUGUCUCAAAGGCAAAUCAGUAUCUUGAUCAUAGUCCUAGACAAAUAGGCCCUCAAAUUUACUAUUAACUGAAUCAAAAUUAAGUCUUAUAUAUUCUUUUCAAACACUGAAUUUUUAAAAUACUCAGAGUUUCCUACUGUUGGAUUUCAACAUAUAUUUUCAACAUACCUUUCAACAUACGUUGAUAAAGAUGACUCAAGUUUUAAGUCUAUCCAAAAGGGUAUCAAAUCUGUGCUCCCUCUGACAGUCUUAGGUGGGAACAGUUAAGUCUCGUUAAACUAAUCUAUUUCUGGUAGUUUAUAAUGUGGGUGUUUUCUAUAGCCCAGAUGCCCAACUGCUGUUGAACAAACUAUGAGUCUAACACAGUUAGCCUUUCCAAGUCCACCUGUCAGAAUCACGUGCUGUGCGCACAUGAACGCACACACACGCCUCAGUUCCUAAAGCACUUCUGCUCCUCUAAGGAGGGAAACAGGCUUUUGAUCAACACACUAUCAGACACUGAAGUCUGCUAAAAUCAGAAGGUGUCCAAUUUUCACAUAAAUGGAAAG
rnacentral:lncRNA from 1 species